AGUCUCUUCUUCACAAUAAUAUCAUCUCAGCUGUCUCUGUGUUGUUUUUGCAAGUCUUCUCUAUUUCUUGCUGAGAUCUAGAGACAAAGCCCUAAAACUAAAAAGCAAAAAUGGCGGAAGAGAAGGAUCCCACUUCUAUACCACUAAGUCAAGCUUCUGAAGAUCCUGAAGACCCCAUCAAAUCUACUCCUGCUUCACCCAAUUCUUCUACCCGCAAGGCUUGCUGUUAUUUUCUUCAAAGUUGGGUAUCUAAGAAGUUUAUGACUGGAUGUGUGGUUCUCUUCCCUGUGGCGGUUACAUUCUUU
rnacentral:misc_RNA from 1 species